CUUGAUCUUGCCAUGUGAUCGUGUUUCUAUAACACUGACAACAAAUGGUGAUUACUGUAGAUGUUUCGACAAGUGAAUGGAAUAACAGAAGACAAGUCAGCCAUCUUGGAAGGAGAAUAAUGCAUUAUGGGACAGGAAGUAGAAAUUUAACAGCCUGUUAAGGAUUUAACACUGGCGUUAUGGACUUAACGCUGACGUAAUUUAACGGCAGCGUUAAGUCUCUUUAAGCAACAGGAUUUUAACGGAGCGUUAUCUUACGCUCCGUUAAGGAUUUAACGGACUAUUAAGAGGAGAAGAAGUUCAUUUUGGUAUGAGGACUGGCGACCAAAAGUCAGUAGAGGACCAAAGAAGCCAGUAGGCCCAAAACUGCUGGCAGAAAAGACGCAAACAUGUUGUUUAUGCACAGAACCUCAUGAUGAAAGAAAAUACUGGGAGUGUGAUAUAUGUUGUUCGAGGUUACAUCCUGGGUACAUUGGCCGUGAUCAAGAUGAAACACCUGCAGAUAGCUCCACCGCCUUCUGGUGUGAGGCAUGUCUGAUGCAUGCUGGGUACAGUCGUUAUGGCUGAUAAUCCAUGCACAGGGAACAAAAAGUCAAACUCGAUGGCUGCAGAGACAUGAGGCAUUCCUGAGGUGUAGAAAUAUGCCUUACAGUCGGUAUUAUGGAGCAAAUGUGUUCUCAUGUGAUGCACAGAUAAUUUUAAGAAGAAACCUUGACAGAAUUUUCUUGAAGAAAAAGUAAUUGGCAGAGUGUUACGUGUCAAAAGUGUUGCAGAAGGAAGCAAUGAUUGCCAUUCUGCAUAUGCACUCUGCUGUCGGUAAUUAGGAGGCGGAUUCAAGACUGAAGGAGGCAGGGAGUACCAGUAACAGGGCAAUGUUUGCUGGGUUAUUGUAAAUGAGGCCAUGGAGUGUGAUGGCAAUACUUAAUAUUUUAUCACAAUUUUAAGUGAUUUUUUGUUGAUAACAGACAGCCAUUAAGAUGUAAUUCAUUGUCAUUGUGUACAACUAUGUACCAAGUAUUUAUAUCAGGAUAAACACCGGGGAAAUACCGGAUUAAAUUUUAGCAUUUGAACACAUGUGUCAUAGCGAAACUUCUCAGUUAUAUCGCAUUUUCUGUUUUGUCAUUGUAUAGUUGAUGAGACCAUAAGUAAUAAAAUACACUGUUAAAUUUCACACUGAAAGUAAGGUAUGAAUGUGUCUAUUAAUGUGUCACCAGUAAAACUUGCUUUGUAGACAUCCACAUCACCUGUGAUAGUUUGUUCACUUAUGACUUAUUUACAAGUAUUGAAGUAUAUAUGAUUGGAUGAAAAAGAUGAAUAAAUGCAUGCUUUUAAUAUUUUGUCUAUGUGUGCUAUUUUUCUAUGGCAAUGAACUUAUAUAUAACUUGACUAGUCCAAUCUAAAAUUUGCUUAUUUCAUUUUUCGUGGUAACUGCUAAAAUAAGGUUUAAUUUUACCUAAUGAUUGGUCAAAAGUACAUGCUCAAUUAAACAGACAUUUACUGAAAAAAAUGUAAAAAAUAAAACUAAUAAAUGAAUUAUUUUUUAUAUUUCAGCAAACCAUGUGAUUACUUAUGUGAUUGGGACAUACUAGUCGAUUGUCAAGGACGACACAACAGGCCAUUAUCAUGGGCGGCACACCAGGCUCUGUUCUUUUUUUGUACAUAUUGCUAAUCAGGCUACAUUAGAGCAAUGUACAGUUUAUCACAAAAAGCAAAUCGACUUCGUUAAUUAUAGACUUACACAAUGAAAUCUUUAAUAAACUAUGAAACCAAUAUACCCUUUAUGGAGCUGAAAUUUUGGACUAUGGAAAGAACGAUGUUUUUGAAAGAGUUCAACUUCGAUUCGAAGUUUUUUUUUUAUUUUAGCUAGUUUUGUAAUGCAUCCUUUCGUAAUGAUAUUUGAGAUUAUGGGUCUUUACUAUAAUGUCUACGUAAAACAAUAAUACAACAUGCAUAUGAUGUGAAAUUUAAUUAUUUUACAAAAUGUACUACUAAUGCAACAUCUAGUCUAACAUCAACAAAGUUAGUUUUCUCAAUACUGAUUAGUAAGAACAUGAUCGAUUAUUUAAAAUCUCUUUUUAUUCAUACUGUUGUGAAUUCAUUAUCAGAUCGUAUCUUGUGUAAAUCUUUAGAGAAUGACGGCAAAAAAGAUACUAAGUUCAACUUAAAAUAUUUGAGAACCUUUGAUAAUUAAAUGAGUAACUGAAAUAUCAGUAAUGUUUCUGAAAAUAUUACAGAUGUUUAUUGACUCUGCGGCCUUCACACUCGUAUCCAUGAUUUUAUUGCUUCUAUACAAACGUGUAUGGUAGGUAUAAUCAAUUCACGCAUGUUAAAAAUUUCCACUCAAUUUCAAUGGAAGCAGUACUAUUUUCCCAUAUCGAUUUUUUGUUUACAUUGUAAUAUGUAGCUUGUAAUCAAAUGCGAUACUUUGAUAUGUACGAAAUCGUUUAUUUACAUGUAUUUAUAAGGAUAACUUUUGUAAAGAUUAUAUUGAACUCGUUAAGGUUAUGAAUUAUUUCCUCUUCAUAAGAGUGCAUUUUUCAACAUGCAUGUCUAA